rnacentral:rRNA from 1 species
CCUACGGGAGGCAGCAGUGAGGAAUAUUGGUCAAUGGGCGUAAGCCUGAACCAGCCAAGUCGCGUGAGGGAUGAAGGUUCUAUGGAUCGUAAACCUCUUUUAUAAGGGAAUAAAGUGCGGGACGUGUCCCAUUUUGUAUGUACCAUAUGAAUAAGGAUCGGCUAACUCCGCGCCAGCAGCCGCGGUAAUACGGCGGAUCCGAGCGUUAUCCGGAUUUAUUGGGUUGAAAGGGUGCGUAGGCGGCCUUUUAAGUCAGCUGUGAAAGUUUGCGGCUCAACCGUAGAAUUGCCGUUGAAACUGGGAGGCUUGAGUAUGUUUGAGGCAGGCGGAAUGCGUGGUGUAGCGGUGAAAUGCUUAGAUAUCACGCAGAACCCCGAUUGCGAAGGCAGCUUGCCAAGCCAUGACUGACGCUGAUGCACGAAAGCGUGGGGAUCAAACAGGAUUAGAUACCCUUGUAGUC